rnacentral:tRNA from 1 species
GCCCAGAUGGUGGAAUUGGUAGACACGCCAGCUUGAGGGGCUGGUGUCCGUAUGGAUGUGCAAGUUCGAAUCUUGUUCUGGGCA